UGGGUUUCUCAGUCUUUGGGCUAAAAUCAAAUGUAGUACUUGUACUUAUCGGUUUAAUAUCUGAGAGGUCCUCUAUAUGAGAACAACAUAUUAAAUGGGUUUUUAGAACCAGAAGACAGAAUGGGAGCUUGCUCUGUCUACUCUGUGGAUCCACUCUAUGGAUCAGCCCUGU
rnacentral:snRNA from 1 species